GACGAACGCUGGCGGCGUGCUUAACACAUGCAAGUCGAGCGGUAAGGCCCUUUCGGGGGUACACGAGCGGCGAACGGGUGAGUAACACGUGGGUGACCUGCCCUCAGCUCUGGGAUAAGCCCGGGAAACUGGGUCUAAUACUGGAUAUUACUCUGCGGUGCAUGCCGUGGGGUGGAAAGCCUUGUGCGACUGGGGAUGGGCCCGCGGCCUAUCAGCUUGUUGGUGGGGUGAUGGCCACCAAGGCGACGACGGGUAGCCGGCCUGAGAGGGCGACCGGCCACACUGGGACUGAGACACGGCCCAGACUCCUACGGGAGGCAGCAGUGGGGAAUCUUGCGCAAUGGGCGAAAGCCUGACGCAGCGACGCCGCGUGAGGGAUGACGGCCU
rnacentral:rRNA from 1 species